AUUGAACGCUGGCGGCAGGCUUAACACAUGCACGUCGAGCGCGCAGCGGACAGGUGAGUAAUUUCUGGGAACCUGCCUGAUGGAGGGGGAUAACGACUGGAAACGGUCGCUAAUACCGCAUACCAUCAGAUGUGCCCAGAUGGGAUUAGCUAGUAGGUGGGGUAAUGGCUCACCUAGGCGACGAUCCCUAGCUUGUCUGAGAGGAUGACCAGCAACCCUGGAACUGAGACACGGUCCAGACUCCUAUGGGAGGCAGCAGUGGGGAAUAUUGCACAAUGGGCGCAAGCCUGAUGCAGCCAGGCCGCGUGUGCGAAGAAGGCCUUCGGGUUGUAAAGCACUUUCAGCGAGGAGGCGUUACUCGCAGAAGAAGCACCGGCUAACCCCGGGCCAGCAGCCGCGGUAAUAC
rnacentral:rRNA from 1 species